rnacentral:rRNA from 1 species
CUUGGUCAUUUAGAGGAAGUAAAAGUCGUAACAAGGUUUCCGUAGAUGAACCUGCGGAAGGAUCAUUAUUGAAAUAAACCUGAUGGGUUGUUGCUGGUUCUCUAGGGAGCAUGUGCACACCUUGUCAUCUUUAUAUCUCCACCUGUGCACUUUUUGUAGACCUUUCAGGUCUAUGUUGCUUCAUUUACCCCAAUGUAUGUUAAUAGAAUGUUGUGCCUAUAUAAUAUAUACAACUUUCAGCAACGGAUCUCUUGGCUCUCGCAUCGAUGAAGAACGCAGCGAAAUGCGAUAAGUAAUGUGAAUUGCAGAAUUCAGUGAAUCAUCGAAUCUUUGAACGCACCUUGCGCUCCUUGGUAUUCCGAGGAGCAUGCCUGUUUGAGUGUCAUUAAUAUAUCAACCUUCUCUUUUUGAGUGGUUUGGAUGUGGGAGUUUGCUGGCCUCUUAAAAAGGUCUUGGCUCUCCUGAAAUACAUUAGCAGAACAACCCUGUUCAUUGGUGUGAUAACUAUCUACGCUAUUGAAUGUGAAGGGCAGUUUGGCUUUCUAACAGUCCUUGGACAAGCUCAUCAUUAAUGUGACCUCAAAUCAGGUAGGACUACCCGCUGAACUUAAGCAUAUCAAUAAGCGGAGGA